AGGACGAACGCUGGCGGCGUGCUUAACACAUGCAAGUCGAGCGAGGCCCCUUCCUUCGGGAGGGGAGCCCUAGCGGCGAACGGGUGAGUAACACGUGGGCAAUCUGCCCCUAGCACUGGGAUAACUCCGGGAAACCGGGGCUAAUACCGGAUAUGACCUCCGAGGGCAUCCUCUGGAGGUGGAAAGGAUUCUGGCUAGGGAUGAGCCCGCGGCCUAUCAGCUAGUUGGUGGGGUAAUGGCCCACCAAGGCGACGACGGGUA
rnacentral:rRNA from 1 species